AUUGAACGCUGGCGGAAUGCUUUACACAUGCAAGUCGAACGGCAGCACGGACUUCGGUCUGGUGGCGAGUGGCGAACGGGUGAGUAAUGUAUCGGAACGUGCCCAGUCGUGGGGGAUAACGUAGUGAAAAUUACGCUAAUACCGCAUACGAUCUAUGGAUGAAAGCGGGGGAUCGCAAGACCUCGCGCGAUUGGAGCGGCCGAUAUCAGAUUAGGUAGUUGGUGGGGUAAAGGCCCACCAAGCCAACGAUCUGUAGCUGGUCUGAGAGGACGACCAGCCACAAUGGAACUGAGACACGGUCCAGACUCCUACGGGAGGCAGCAGUGGGGAAUUUUGGGCAAUGGGCGAAAGCCUGGUCCAGCCAUUCCGCGUGCAGGAUGAAGGCCCUCGGGUUGUAAACUGCUUUUGUACAGAACGAAAAGGUUUCUACUAAUACUAGGAGCUCAUGACGGUACUGUAAGAAUAAGCACCGGCUAACUACGUGCAGCAGCCGCCGCCGUAA
rnacentral:rRNA from 1 species